CAUGGAUUUUUCAAACUCAAAAGUUGAUACAAAGAUGAACGAUAUAAAUGUUGAAGAAUUCGAAGCCGAGAAAUACAUUGAAACUUCCAAAGUUGAUAACAGUGGAACUGAAAAUAAUUCAUGUUUCGUUGAGAGAAACUUGGACUCUUCAAAAGUUAUCAAGGAAGAGAUCAACAAUAUGGAUUUUUUAGAUCCUCAAUCUGAUAAAAAAUUUGAAGGAUAGAAAACUUGAAGAAAUAGAAGCUCAAAUUGGUUUUGUACAUUUGAGUUGGAUUCAGCCAUCAUUCUAAGAGUUAGUG
rnacentral:lncRNA from 1 species